GUACCGCUGGAGAGUUGGAAGAAGCAUUCAAUUUUAUUCAGUCCUUGCCACAACCAGUGGAUCCUGGAGUCUGGGGUGCACUACUGUCAUGUUGUGAGAUGUGUGGUAAUUCCACAAUGGCAGAAACUGCUGCGAGCUGCUGGAUUGUUUGCGGGGUCUAUCUUCCUGAUGCGGCAGUAUGGUGACCUUAUGGCUGUGUGAUGAUUAAUAGGAGUCACCAUGCCUUCGGAACCACAUCACGCCCUGGAUUUGAUAAGAUAGGAUGAAUUGAUGUUUAGCAGAAGCUCGUCCUGUUUUCUCCAUCUAAGUCACUUAGAAUGUUGUCAGAAUUUCUCCUUUCAGAGUUUUUGAAGCAAUAUUUGGAUACCGGCAAGACGGAUAUCUUCAUGCAUUAGCUGACGAUUUCUAUGGUUGUGUUUGAACAAUUUCUAGCUGCUGCAAGUACUAGCCCUUACUGGUAUCUUGUUUG